CGCCUGUCUAUUUUCAGCAUCAGCUCCGACAUAUGCGUACAACCUAUUCCUAAGCUGUGAGUGGCGCUAACCUCAUUAUUGUCUUCUACUUCACACGCGUUACUUACGUUUCACAGUCUAUCUAUGUUCACACAUUGUUGAGUCUGACUUUCAAGAGCGAUGGAACCGUCAGAGCGAGCUGGCAAUGAAAGUGAAAUGUUACACACUCCAGUCGGCGUCAAGUCAUGGGUGUGGAAGUAUUUUGGCUUCAGGAAAACAGAUGGAGCAGUGGUAAGAGAUAUUUCCGUUUGCAAAGAAGACUGCUAUAGUGUAACAUACACAUUAUGUGAAUAGAAUACUGUGACAUUCAUUAACACUCAAGCCACCGGCCUCGCGCCAUUCUCUCACGUCGGCCGCGUCCUGCUCGCCACAAAUGCUGUUUCUGUAUUCUCAAUAAAAGGCUAAUUAU